AACGAACGCUGGCGGCAUGCCUAACACAUGCAAGUCGAACGAGACCUGCGGGUCUAGUGGCGCACGGGUGCGUAACGCGUGGGAACCUGCCCUUAGGUUCGGAAGAACUCCCCGAAAGGGGUGCUAAUACCGGAUAAUGUCUUCGGACCAAAGAUUGAUCGCCUUUGGAUGGGCCCGCGUUGGAUUAGCUAGUUGGUAGGGUAAAAGCCUACCAAGGCGACGAUCCAUAGCUGGUCUGAGAGGAUGAUCAGCCACACUGGGACUGAGACACGGCCCAGACUCCUACGGGAGGCGGCAGUGGGGAAUAUUGGACAAUGGGCGGAAGCCUGAUCCAGCAAUGCCGCGUGAGUGAUGAAGGCCUUAGGGUUGUAAAGCUCUUUUACCCGGGAUGAUAAUGACAGUACCGGGAGAAUAAGCUCCGGCUAACUCCGUG
rnacentral:rRNA from 1 species